rnacentral:rRNA from 1 species
GACGAACGCUGGCGGCGUGCUUAACACAUGCAAGUCGAACGGAAGGGCCCUGCUUUUGUGGGGUGCUCGAGUGGCGAACGGGUGAGUAACACGUGAGUAACCUGCCCUUGACUUUGGGAUAACUUCAGGAAACUGGGGCUAAUACCGGAUAGGAGCUCCUGCUGCAUGGUGGGGGUUGGAAAGUUUCGGCGGUUGGGGAUGGACUCGCGGCUUAUCAGCUUGUUGGUGGGGUAGUGGCUUACCAAGGCUUUGACGGGUAGCCGGCCUGAGAGGGUGACCGGGCACAUUGGGACUGAGAUACGGCGCAGACGCCUACGGGAGGCAGCAGGGGGGAAUAUUGCACAAUGGGCGGAAGCCUGAGGCAGCAACGCCGCGUGCGGGAUGACGGCCUUCGGGUUGUAAACCGCUUUCGCCUGUGACGAAGCGUGAGUGACGGUAAUGGGUAAAGAAGCACCGGCUAACUACGUG